ACUCCUACGGGAGGCAGCAGUGGGGAAUAUUGCACAAUGGGCGCAAGCCUGAUGCAGCCAUGCCGCGUGUAUGAAGAAGGCCUUCGGGUUGUAAAGUACUUUCAGCAGUGAGGAAGGUGGGUAUGUUAAUAGCAUAUUCAUUUGACGUUAGCUGCAGAAGAAGCACCGGCUAACUCCGUGCCAGCAGCCGCGGUAAUACGGAGGGUGCGAGCGUUAAUCGGAAUUACUGGGCGUAAAGCGCAUGCAGGUGGUUUGUUAAGUCAGAUGUGAAAGCCCGGGGCUCAACCUCGGAAUUGCAUUUGAAACUGGCAAACUAGAGUACUGUAGAGGGGGUAGAAUUUCAGGUGUAGCGGUGAAAUGCGUAGAGAUCUGAAGGAAUACCGGUGGCGAAGGCGGCCCCCUGGACAGAUACUGACACUCAGAUGCGAAAGCGUGGGGAGCAAACAGGAUUAGAUACCCUGGUA
rnacentral:rRNA from 1 species